CAGCCGCCACGGUAAUACGUAGGUCCCGAGCGUUGUCCGGAUUUAUUGGGCGUAAAGCGAGCGCAGGCGGUUAGAUAAGUCUGAAGUUGAAGGCUGUGGCUUAACCAUAGUACGCUUUGGAAACUGUUUAACUUGAGUGCAGAAGGGGAGAGUGGAAUUCCAUGUGUAGCGGUGAAAUGCGUAGAUAUAUGGAGGAACACCGGUGGCGAAAGCGGCUCUCCGGUCUGUAACUGACGCUGAGGCUCGAAAGCGUGGGGAGCAAACAGGAUUAGAUACCCCCGUAGUCCCUGUCUCUUAUACA
rnacentral:rRNA from 1 species